UACGGUCGCAAGACUAAAACUCAAAGGAAUUGACGGGGGCCCGCACAAGCAGCGGAGCAUGCGGCUUAAUUCGAUGCAACGCGAAGAACCUUACCUAGGCUUGACAUAUAGAGAAAUCCCACAGAGAUGUGGAGUCCGUAAGGGCUCUAUACAGGUGGUGCAUGGUUGUCGUCAGCUCGUGUCGUGAGAUGUUGGGUUAAGUCCCGCAACGAGCGCAACCCUCGUUCUAUGUUGCCAGCGCGUAAUGGCGGGGACUCAUAGGAGACUGCCGGGGUCAACUCGGAGGAAGGUGGGGAUGACGUCAAAUCAUCAUGCCCCUUAUGCCUAGGGCUGCACGCAUGCUACAAUGGCCGAUACAAAGGGCUGCGAUACCGCAAGGUGGAGCGAAUCCCAUAAAGUCGGUCUCAGUUCGGAUUGGGGUCUGCAACUCGACCCCAUGAAGUUGGAGUUGCUAGUAAUCGCAGAUCAGCAACGCUGCGGUGAAUACGUUCCCGGGCCUUGUACACACCGCCCGUCACGUCACGAAAGUCGGUAACACCCGAAGCCGGUGGCCUAACCGUAAGGAAGGAGCCGUCGAAGGUGGGAUCGGUGAUUGGGACG
rnacentral:rRNA from 1 species